rnacentral:rRNA from 1 species
UACGUAGGGGGCAAGCGUUGUCCGGAUUCAUUGGGCGUAAAGAGCGUGUAGGCGGCCAGGCAGGUCCGCUGUGAAAACUCGAGGCUCAACCUCGAGAUGUCGGUGGAAACCGUCUGGCUAGAGUCCGGAAGAGGAGAGUGGAAUUCCCGGUGUAGCGGUGAAAUGCACAGAUAUCGGGAAGAACACCCGUGGCGAAGGCGGCUCUCUGGGACGGUACUGACGCUGAGACGCGAAAGCGUGGGGAGCGAACAGG